rnacentral:rRNA from 1 species
AUUGAACGCUGGCGGCAGGCCUAACACAUGCAAGUCGAACGAGUGGCGGACGGGUGAGUAAUUUCUGGGAAACUGCCUGAUGGAGGGGGAUAAGUACUGGAAACGGUAGCUAAUACCGCAUACCAUCAGAUGUGCCCAGAUGGGAUUAGCUUGUUGGUGGGGUAACGGCUCACCAAGGCGACGAUCCCUAGCUGGUCUGAGAGGAUGACCAGCCACCUGGGAACUGAGACACGGUCAAGACUCCUACGGGAGGCAGCAGUGGGGAAUAUUGCAAAAUGGGGGAAAGCCGGAUGCAGACAUGCCGCGGGUAUGAAGAAGGCCUUCGGGUUGUAAAGUACUUUCAGCGGGUAGGCGUUACCCGCAGAAGAAGCACCGGCUAACUCCGUGCCAGCAGCCGCGGUAAUAC